GAUGAACGCUAGCGGCAGGCCUAACACAUGCAAGUCGAGGGGUAGAGUUCUUCGGGACUUGAGACCGGCGCACGGGUGCGUAACGCGUAUGCAAUCUACCUUAUACAGGGGAAUAGCCCAGAGAAAUUUGGAUUAAUGCCCCAUAGUGUUAUCGAAUCGCAUGGUUUGAUAACUAAAGUUCCAACGGUAUAAGAUGAGCAUGCGUCCCAUUAGUUAGUUGGUAAGGUGACGGCUUACCAAGACAAUGAUGGGUAGGGGUCCUGAGAGGGAGAUCCCCCACACUGGUACUGAGACACGGACCAGACUCCUACGGGAGGCAGCAGUGAGGAAUAUUGGUCAAUGGGCGCAAGCCUGAACCAGCCAUGCCGCGUGCAGGGAAGACGGUCCUAUGGGUUGUAAACUGCUUUUUAUACAGGAAGAAACACUCCCUCGUGAGGGAACUUGACGGUACUGUAUGAAUAAGGACCGGCUGACUCCGUG
rnacentral:rRNA from 1 species